UUAUCUCUGUAGAGUCUGCAUAUCAAUAAGCGGAGGAAAAGAAACUAACUAGGAUUCCCUUAGUAACGGCGGGUGAAGCGGGAAGAGCUCAAAUUUGAAAUCUUCAAGGUUUUACCUUGACGAAUUGUAGUUUAAAGAAGUGUUUUCUGUUGGUGUUUUGGUAAAAGUUCUUUGGAAUAGGACAUCAUAGAGGGUGAGAAUCCCGUAUUUGACCAUUACUUCCAGCGUUGUGAUACACUUUCAAAGAGUCGGAUUGUUUGGGAAUGCAGUCCAAAAUGGGUGGUAAAUUUCAUCUAAAGCUAAAUAUUGGCGAGAGACCAAUAGCGAACAAGUACCGUGAGGGAAAGAUGAAAAGAACUUUGAAAAGAGAGUUAAACAGUACGUGAAAUUGUCAAAAGGGAAGCGUUUGACACCAGUGUUGUUUUCUCGAAAAUCAAUUAAAAAAAGUUGGAUUUUGUAUUGUUAAGACCUUAUCAGCUUACUGUACUCUUUUCUUGCUUUUUUUAAUGCACUUUUCGUUUAACAAGUCAACAUCAAUUUCUUUUGUUGUAAAAGAGUCAUUGGAAGGUGGCUUUCACUUCGGUGAAAGUGUUUAUAGCCUUUGGCUUCUGCAAUCGGAGAGAUUGAGGUCUGCAGCGUAGAUCCUUCGGGGCUAGAUACGUAGAUGCUAAGUUAUAGUUUUUUAUAGACAACUUGUUGACUAUAAUUAAUCAUGUAGCUUACUCGUUUGCGCUAUUUUACCUACGCUUAGGAUGUUGAUAUGCAUGACUGAUAU
rnacentral:rRNA from 1 species